UCCUGGCUCAGAACGAACGCGCGCGGCGUGGAUUAGGUAUGCAAGUCGAACGGGAACUAUACGACUGAUCCUUCGGGUGAAGAUGUAUACGGAACGUGGCGAAAGGGUGAGUAACGAAUGGAUGACCUACCCUCGAGCCCGGGAUAAUCUUCCGAAAGGUAGGGUAAUACCGGAUGGUACAGCUUGGUUACGGCCUUGCUGUUAAAGGAUGCUUCGGCAUUCACUCGAGGAGGGGUUCAUUUCCUAUUAGCUUGUUGGUGAGGUAACGGCUCACCAAUGCAAAGAUGGGUAGGGGGCCUUAGCGGGUGACCCUCCACACUGGGACUGAGACACUGCCCAGGUUCCUACGGGAGGCUGCAAUCGAGAAUCCUCCGCAAUGGACGAAAGUCUGACGGGGUGACGCCGCGUGAGUGAUGAAGUGCCUUUCAGGUUGUAAAACUCUAACAGGGAGUAUGAAAUUCAUCGGGUCCAAUAGGCCCGGUGAUUGACGUCAAUCCCAGAUGAAGUCACGGCUAAAUAUGUGCCAGCAGCCGCGGUAACACAUAUGUGGCAAGCGUUGUUCGGAAUUACUGGGCUUAAAGCGCACGUAGGUGGUGCAGUCAGUCAAUUUGUGAAAUCCCCCGGCUUAACCGGGGAAUCGCGGUUGAUACUGCUGUGCUGGAGUUCGGAAGGGGAGACUGGAACUCUGGGUGUAGCGGUGGAAUGCGAAGAUAUCCAGGGGAAGUGCCGGUAGCGAAAGCGAGUCUCUGGUCCGAUACUGACACUGAGGUGCGAAAGCGUAGGUAGCGAACGGGAUUAGAUACCCCGGUAGUCUACGCCGUAAACGAUGGGCACUAGGUGGUGGGAACGCCGAUAGUUCUCUCCGCCGAAGCAAAAGCGUUAAGUGCCCCGCCUGGGGAGUAUGGUCGCAAGAUUAAAACUCAAAGGAAUUGACGGGGGCCCACACAAGCGGUGGAGGAUGCGGCUUAAUUCGAGGACACGCGUAGAACCUUACCGAGGCUUGACAUGCAGGGAUUAACCAGGUGAAAACCUGGGGAUUGCCUUACGGUGUAACCUGCACAGGUGCUGCAUGGCUGUCGACAGCUCGUGUCGUGAGAUGUUAGGUUAAGUCCUGUAACGAGCGAAACCCCUGUGCUUAAUUGCCAGCGCGUUAUGGCGGGGACUUUAAGCAGACUGCCCCGGCCAACGGGGAGGAAGGUGGGGAUGACGUCAAGUCAGCAUGGCCCUUAUGCCUCGGGCUGCACGCGUCCUACAAUGGGCAGUACAAUGAGUACCGAUCCCGCAAGGGGGAGGAAAUCUCGAAAGCUGUCCUCAGUUCGGAUUGCAGGCUGAAACUCGCCUGCAUGAAGGUGGAAUCGCUAGUAAUCGCCGGUCAGCUAUACGGCGGUGAUACGUCCCUGGGCCUUGUACACACCGCCCGUCAAGCCACCCGAGUUG
rnacentral:rRNA from 1 species